ensembl:rRNA 5S_rRNA 5S ribosomal RNA
GUCUACGGGCAUGCUACCCUGAACAAGUCCAAUCCUGUCUGAUCUCAGAAGCUAAACAGGGUCAGGCCUGGUUAGUACUUGAAUGGGAGACCACCUAGAAAGACCGGGUGCCGUAGGCA